rnacentral:rRNA from 1 species
GGUCGAAAGAGGAAAUUCAUUCGCGUUUCGAUCGUCGAAGUAGGAUAUUUGUAUGACGGAUGAUGUGUUUCUGCGCAUGAGUCCGCAUCUUAUGUUCUUCGAAUCGAUGUCGAACGCGUGCACUUUUCCUCUAGUAGGACGUCGUGAUCCGUUGGGUGUCUGUCUAAGACUCGGGGUGGAGACCACGUGAUUUUUUAAUUAUGUGGACCCUCGAUGUUCCGACAGACUCGCUCGACGGUAUCAAUAUGGCGCGGGGCCGCUACAUUAGUUAGCGUUCGGCCCGUAGCAAGCACGUUUCGUGUUUGACGGCGAUCGGACCUAGUGCCGAUUCUGUCCCGGAACGACUGUUGGUUACGGUGUUCUCGAACAGACCUCG